rnacentral:pre_miRNA from 1 species
AUUUCCGGCCCACAAGGAGCUAACAGUCUAGAGGGGGAGACAGACAUUAAUAUAAACAAAUUAAAGAUAUUUACGUAAGUGUUGUGGGACUGGGAGGGGAGAUGAAUGUCUGUCUCCCCCUGUAGAUUGUAAGCUCCUUGUGGGCAGGUACU